UUCUUGGUCAUUUAGAGGAAGUAAAAGUCGUAACAAGGUUUCCGUAGGUGAACCUGCGGAAGGAUCAUUACAAAAUGUAUGGGAUGCCCUAUCGGACUCCCAAGCAAAACACAUUCCUGUGUACUCUCCCUCAUUAAACUUUUGAACCAAUUAGUAGUCUGAGAAGGCCAUGUGCCGUAAAAUUUAAACAUGUUAAAACUUUCAACAACGGAUCUCUUGGCUCUCGCAUCGAUGAAGAACGCAGCGAAAUGCGAUAAGUAAUGUGAAUUGCAGAAUUCAGUGAAUCAUCGAAUCUUUGAACGCACAUUGCGCCCUUUGGUAUUCCUUAGGGCAUGCCUGUUCGAGCGUCACUAAAAACCCCCUCACAGAUAAUGUGGUAUUGGUAGAAGUGGAUGGUACUAACACUACUUUGUCUGACUCUACUGAAAUGAAUAGGCCAGAGAAGUUGACCGUGGUAAUAGACUCCAGGAGUGUUUUAAAAUGCUAAAUUAGUCUUCUCCAAGUCAUGUUCUGAGCUACCGGACCCCCCAUUUAGUCCAAACUAGAGAGGUUGACCUCGGAUCAGGUAGGGAUACCCGCUGAACUUAAGCAUAUCAAUAAGCGGAGGAA
rnacentral:rRNA from 1 species